GACGAACGCUGGCGGCGUGCUUAACACAUGCAAGUCGAGCGGUAAGGCCCUUUCGGGGGUACACGAGCGGCGAACGGGUGAGUAACACGUGGGUGACCUGCCCUUAGCUCUGGGAUAAGCCUGGGAAACCGGGUCUAAUACCGGAUAUGACUCCGCGGCGCAUGUUGUGGGGUGGAAAGCCUUGUGCGGCUGGAGAUGGGCCCGCGGCCUAUCAGCUUGUUGGUGGGGUGAUGGCCUACCAAGGCGACGACGGGUAGCCGGCCUGAGAGGGCGACCGGCCACACUGGGACUGAGACACGGCCCAGACUCCUACGGGAGGCAGCAGUGGGGAAUCUUGCGCAAUGGGCGAAAGCCUGACGCAGCGACGCCGCGUGAGGGAUGACGGCCUCGGUU
rnacentral:rRNA from 1 species